GAAGUGAAGCUGGUGGAGUCUGAGGGAGGCUUAGUGCAGCCUGGAAGUUCCAUGAAACUCUCCUGCACAGCCUCUGGAUUCACUUUCAGUGACUAUUACAUGGCUUGGGUCCGCCAGGUUCCAGAAAAGGGUCUAGAAUGGGUUGCAAACAUUAAUUAUGAUGGUAGUAGCACCUACUAUCUGGACUCCUUGAAGAGCCGUUUCAUCAUCUCGAGAGACAAUGCAAAGAACAUUCUAUACCUGCAAAUGAGCAGUCUGAAGUCUGAGGACACAGCCACGUAUUACUGUGCAAGA